ACUCUGCUCGUACUGAUUGCAGUUCUCAUGGCGUCUUGGUGCUCCACAAGACCGCUCCAGAAUGAAACGCUGUUUUAAAGAACUUACCUGUGUAUGUGUUGUGGUGACGAGAGCUACACGUAGGGUCCAAUCAGAACUAAACCACCUUGGAAAUCUUUGAGGCUUGAUGGAGCAAAUUAAUGGAAACAAAAGGACAAUUCUUCUAAAAUUGGUAUCUCUGUUCUACAUAAGUGGAAAAAAUAGUGCUGUGUCAUGCAAAUUUCAGUUCUUUUUGUCCUGAGACAUAUUUAUUUAAACCUCAGAUAAAAUAGUGCACAUUA